rnacentral:rRNA from 1 species
AUAUUGGACAAUGGGGGAAACCCUGAUCCAGCCAUGCCGCGUGUGUGAAGAAGGCCCUAGGGUUGUAAAGCACUUUAAUUAGGGAGGAAGGCCAUUUAGCUAAUACCUAAGUGGAUUGACGUUACCUAAAGAAUAAGCACCGGCUAACUCCGUGCCAGCAGCCGCGGUAAUACGGAGGGUGCAAGCGUUAAUCGGAAUUACUGGGCGUAAAGCGAACGUAGGCGGCUUAUUAAGUCGGUUGUGAAAGCCCCGGGCUCAACCUGGGAAUUGCUUCCGAUACUGAUAAGCUAGAGUACAAGAGAGGGUGGUGGAAUUUCUAGUGUAGCGGUGAAAUGCGUAGAUAUUAGAAGGAACAUCAGUGGCGAAGGCGGCCACCUGGCUUGAUACUGACGCUGAGGUGCGAAAGCGUGGGGAGCAAACAGG